AGAUGAAAUCUUGCUGUCGCCUAGGCUGGAGCACAGUGUCGUGAUCUCGGCUCACUGCAACCUCCACCUCCAGGUUCAAGCAAUUCUCCCUGCCUCAGCCUCCCAAGUAGCUGCGGUUACAGGCGCCCACUGCCACUCCUGGCUAAUUUUUGUAUCUUUAGUGGAGACGGGUCAUGUUGGCCAGGCUGGUCUUGAAAUCCUGGACUGAAGUUAUCUGCCCACCUUGGCCUCCCAAAGUGCUGGGAUUACAGGCAUUAGCCACUGCACCCAGCUCCCAAAUUUGUUCAGGAACCCUCUUUUGGGGUCUACACUGGGACCUCUUCUGGUAACAUUACCAUAAGUGCCUUUUCUAGUUAGCUAACAGGAGGAUAAAACAGGCCAAGCCUUCACCUAUUCACGGCACAUAGAACAAGAAAGAAAAAACAGUGGCCGUACAGUUUCCAUUGUUCCCCCCAAAUGUCUGUAUGUCAUUUAUUACCUUGGUUUUGUUUGGCAGGGAUGUUGUUGUUGCCUUUCACAUGCUUUCGAUCUAGACUAAUCUCGGCACUCAGAUGUCCCUUUGGCCUCACAGAGUAGGAUGCCUGGAAUCAGAACAAGCCGUGGAGUGCAAAGAAAUUCCUCAGUCAUGACUACAUUAUUUUGUUCUUCGUAUCAAAAGCAAGCUAGGUGAGAGAAUUCAUUCAUCUUUUACCACACUGCAAGGGACAGAGGCAAUUUUUCUCCCAGGAUUCAGGACUAAAGUAGAUGAUCUUCUGGACUUCUCUGUGACAUUUCACUGAAAUUGCAUUUCACCGAAAACAAACAAGCAAACAAAAAUCUUCCUUUUGAGAAGAUAAUCCCCAGAAGUUAAAAGAAAGAGUAGUAGUCCAGUUGGAAGUUGCAAAAAAAUGUUCAACUUCUUUCUGAAGAUCCCCCUUUUAGUGGCUUUUCACUGAUGUCUGUGAGGGGUAAACUCUCUCAGUCAAGAAUGGAUCCAUUUUCAAGACUAUUUAUUCAUUCAUUCAUUCAUUCAUUCAUUCAGAGAUAGGGUCUCACUCUGUCGCCCAGGCUGUAGUACAGUGGCACAAUCAUGGCUAACUUCAGCCUCCACCUCCCUGGCUCAAGCAAUCCUCCCACCUUAGCCUCCUGAGUAGCUGGGACCACAGGCGCCUGCCACCAUGCCCGGCUAGUUUUUUACAUUUUUUGUAGAGACAAGGCCUCCCUGUGUUGCCCAGGCUGGUCUCAAACUCCUGCGCUCUAGCAGUCCUCCUUCCUUGGCCUCCCAAAGUGCUGGGAUUACAGGCGUGAACCACUGCACCUGGCCUGGGUACAUUUUUCUUGGGGCCUGAAACUGAUGCCAUUUUGGAUCCUCUUUAGGAAAAAUAAUACAAACUAUGAAUAUAAAAUUAAGAAUGAAAAUAUUGACAAUGAGAAAAAAAUCACUACAAAUUAUAAAGUUGGAAAUGCUGACAAAUAAAACAAACAUAAAAAAAUCCAGAAAGAAUACUAUUUUUUAUUAAUUAACUUGACUUUUUCCAACUUCUCAUAUUGGUGCCACUGGAGUGACGAUGGUCAUUUUGGAGAUUUGACUAGUGGGAAGAUGAGAUGGUCUACAUUUACUUUGGAUUUCAUGAGAUACAUUAGGUGAUCUGCAGUCCUUUUCAUAUAUAGCUCAGUUAUUCAGUUAUUGCUGGGUGUACAGAUGUUGGAAUGGCUUCCAGAAAUACUCCUACCAUCCACAGGCUGACUUGCCUGGCACACAGCAUCAGAGAUUGGAUGGAGAUGCAAAUAAUUCUACAAUGUCUGGCACCAAAAAUAUGCGGAUAGUGAAG
rnacentral:lncRNA from 1 species